UGUUUUAUUAUGAAUCUGUGUGUUUUCCUCUGUUUUAUAUUACUUAUGGGUGCCGUAUUUAUGUUAUGUAAUCUUGUAACCUUGUGUUGUGCUUUACUAUGUGUUUGUGUGGUAUCUCGUGUCUUGAGCCGGGGGUCUAUCGGAAACAGUCUUUCUACUUCUUCAGAGGUAGAGGUAUGGACUGCGUACAUCUUACCCCCC
rnacentral:lncRNA from 1 species